rnacentral:rRNA from 1 species
AACGAACGCUGGCGGCGUGCCUAACACAUGUAAGUCGUGGGAGAAAGUGACCUUCGGGUCACGAGUAAACCGGCGCACGGGUGAGUAACACGUAGGUAACGUACCAUCGAACCUGGGAUAACCAGCCGAAAGGUUGGCUAAUACCGGAUACGACCGAGAGGACUUCGGCCCUCACGGUGAAAGGCGGCCUCUGCUUGCAAGCUGUCAUUCGAUGCGCGGCCUGCGCACCAUUAGCAGUUGGUGGAGGUAACGGCUCACCAAGGCUGAGAUGG